GCCAGUGAUGACAGUUUUCAGGUUCACGAAGCGCAGCUUUUUAAUGUGCAUAAAGUGUUGAAAAUCAUGAACUAGGACGGUCUGAGGC